rnacentral:sRNA from 12 species
UCACGAUGCGUAAGGCGUGUGUAUUAACAAUGCGGAACGGAAACCGCUAAAGUGAGUGGCGCACCAUAGAAGCCUGGAUUUUGCCCCAAGGUAUGGCUGCCUGGUAUCUACGAAGAACUGUAGAAAAACAUGGAUGAUACGCAGAGAAGCGGACAAACGCCUUCCAUGGAUCAGCUGACAUUGCAGUGCGUGCAGGUAAACAAAUUUCGAAGACAGGUCACUGUAGUAGAAUGGCUGGCGCUGUUCUAUGGGCAAAUACAGUGGCCUUUUC